rnacentral:rRNA from 1 species
AGUGAACGCUGGCGGUAGGCCCAACACAUGCAAGUCGAACGGCAGCACAGGAGAGCUUGCUCUCUGGGUGGCGAGUGGCGGACGGGUGAGGAAUACAUCGGAAUCUACCUUUUCGUGGGGGAUAACGUAGGGAAACUUACGCUAAUACCGCAUACGACCUACGGGUGAAAGUGGGGGACCGCAAGGCCUCACGCGAUUAGAUGAGCCGAUGUCCGAUUAGCUAGUUGGCGGGGUAAUGGCCCACCAAGGCGACGAUCGGUAGCUGGUCUGAGAGGAUGAUCAGCCACACUGGAACUGAGACACGGUCCAGACUCCUACGGGAGGCAGCAGAGGGGAAUAUUGGACAAUGGGCGCAAGCCUGAUCCAGCCAUACCGCGUGGGUGAAGAAGGCCUUCGGGUUGUAAAGCCCUUUUGUUGGGAAAGAAAUCCUGUCGAUUAAUACUCGGUGGGGAUGACGGUACCCAAAGAAUAAGCACCGGCUAACUUCGUGCCAGCCGCCGCGGUAAAAC